rnacentral:lncRNA from 1 species
CGGAAUCGGAUUUGAAAUAAUGGGCAGCUUGCUUAUUAGGCCUCCGUGUUUAACUCCGAGUGAUGGUUUAAAAGUGUGUGCAGAUAAAUAUAUCAUUGUUUUGGAGCAAGUGACAAUUGUGUUUUCCUUUCAGUAGGAAUUACAGCUGAGGACAUAAACACUCAACAGUAAACGGCCUGGAGCUGGGGAUGGGAGUGUCCAUUCAUCUCUUCCCUGCAGGAGAGAUGAGAAUCAGGGAUACGUGUGUGAAUCAUUGAGUUGAGUGGCUGGAAAUUCUGUCUGCUGCUCUUCUAUUAACUACUCUUCUGGACUGCAUUAUUUACUUCAGGUGCAGAAUCCUGGGCAGGACUUGGCUGUUAAAGCAUCAGGGUGAAUGGUGUUCAUAUCCAUAGAGAGCAGAGCGGUAAUCAAGCUCCAUAAUGUCCGGUGUGCUACGAGAGUGUCAAUUUUGACAUCAGAAGUGCAUGACUCAAAGCCGACACCUACCUCUCACAAGCCACUUGACCUUGGACAAUCUGCUUGCUACCUUACGGGAGUCUUUCUUUCCUUCUUUGUAAAUGGAAACAUUGGUAUCUCCUUCCCUGUGUUGGUCUGAUGAUUUAUCUGCUCUUUAGACACCCUCGCCUGCCCUCUCUCUCUUUCCCUGAUACUCCUCUUCUCUCUUAAAAGCGGUUUUCCUCCUUCCUUUCCCUACUUCCUUCUCAGUGCUGAGGACUGACCUCCCGUGUCCUCACACUGAGGCCGGGUUUCUCAAGCUUCUUUCCACAGCUGCAACCCUUUCAUAUAGUUUCUCAUGAUGCGGUGACUCCCAACUACAACGUGAUUUUUGUUGCUGCUUCAGAAGUGUAAUGUUGCUACUGCCAUGAAUCAUAAUGUAAUUAUCUGAUAUGGAGGAUAUCUAAUAUGCGACCCUCAUGAAAGGGUCAUUCGGCCCCCAAACAGGUCACAACCUAGAGGUUGAGAGCCACUGCACUGAGGUGCCAUUCCCCAGCCACAGGAGUUACUAGACUGUGGAUAACCUGUAGGCCAACUGGCCAUUGAUCAUAUUACAGUGGAGUGGAGUGAAGUGAAGAGCUACCAAUUAGCUGUUGAACAGAAGGCAUAUGUACACAUCACUGUAUUUUUCAAUUUACUUCCCUUAGUAUCCAGUUCUCUAAGUCAGCGGCAAUGGGCUGCUACUGAAUGGUUCUGUUGGCAAGGAAUGUGUUGGGCUAGGUGGGGGAGGGAUGGUGUGUGUGUGUGUGUGUGUGUGUGUGUGUGUGUGUAUGGGAAAGUCCCAAGUCCUUCAAAGAGCUCUGACUUGCUUUGGUCUUCAUUCACACAAGGAAGCAUAAACAGAAGGCUGUGUUUGUUUAUGACUCUUGAAGCCGUCAGUCUGCUUCAGGUAUCAGGUGGCAUAUCGUUUUGACAUUGGCUUUCACCCACGGAGACGUACAAACCCUCUUAGGAGCAGCCUUUCAGAACAGAAGUGUUCCCUCCCGAUUCUGAACCAGAAGACAAAGCUGCAAGAACUAAAUGGGGCCAAGAGCAUCGCCAUGAAGAUGACCUUGGAAAGACAGUUCCAGCACUGCAGAAUGUGUGUGAGGGAGGGGCAGGGCUAGUGCUCUCUCCACUCUCCUUCCCCCCAGAAGAAUGCUUGCAAAUUGCUUCAGCAGGCUUUUUCACACAGCCCUCGCCUGAAGACGGUCUCCUUGAUUACACAUCUGCCGAGUUCAGCAUCUUCAAAGCACCUGUAUCUUAAGCACAGUAAUUUCAUUUCAGUGCAAACUGAUGCGAAUGGGUAAUACUGCUAUAGCUACAUGUCUGUUAGGAGACACUGACCACGUGUCUAACCUUUCUGCUCUCACAUCUUCUAUGCUGGUUUUAGCUAGAUGACAUGAGAUAAUGAAGAGAAGGGAAAUUUCGUUUUAUUUCAAGGCAAAGUUCUAUGCACAUAUUAGAAUAAUUCUUGAUUUAUUGGGUUAUCUAAAUCAACCCACAACUUGGCCAAGAGGUGGUGGGGCAGAUGUUUUAAAAUUUCAUCCUGUUUUCCCUCUAAGCUCUGCCUUGACAGUCAUGCCUACUUAAGAACAUACACACUUCUUUUUAAGGUUUUUGAUAUCUGGUUCCUUUACACUUUUGUUGCCUCCAAUAGGACACUCUCUUCUGGUUUUAUAAAAAUUCUGUCUUUCAUUUCACCCAUGGCCUGCUGUAGUGUUCUCAGAUCUGAAGGUUAAGGUUACUGCUGCAGCUGAGAUGAAGUGACGCUGUGAAGAGGAAAGGGAAAGCCUUUGUUCUACAUGUCUUAGCUCCCUGACAUCACUGCUCCAUAGUCCGUGGAUUCUUUUAUUCACCGUCCUGGAUAGUUUUAUGUCAACUUAACACAAGCUAUAGAAUCACAUAAAAGAAAGGGACCUCAAUUUAGAAAAUGUAGCUCUAAGAUCCAGCUGUAGGGUAUUUUCUUCCUUCCUUCCUUCCUUCCUUCCUUCCUUUCUUUCUUUCUUUCUUUCUUUCUUUCUUUCUUUCUUUCUUCCUUCCUUCCUUUCUUUCUUUCUUUUGUAUUUAUUUAUUUUAAACUCCAGAUUUUAUUCCUCUCCUGGUGCCCCCUCCAACUGUUCCACAUCCCAUACCUCCUCCCUGCACCCCUGUCUCCACGAGGAUUUCCCCACCCCACUCCCCACGCCACCAGACCUCUAAACUAACUCCCUGGAGCCUCCAGUCUCUUGAGGGUUAGGUGCAUCUUCUCUGACUAAACCCAAACUGGGCAGUCCUCUGCUGUAUAUGUGUUGGUGGUCUCAUAUCAGCUGGUGUAUGCUGCCUGGUUAGUGUUCCAGUAUCUGAGAGAUCUUGGGGGUCCAGGUUAAUUGAAACAACUGGUUCUCCUACAGGAUCACCCCCCUCCUCAACUUUUUCCAGUUUCCCCCUAAUUCAACCACAGAUGUCAGCAGUUUCUGCCCAUUGGUUGGGUAAAAAUAUCUGAC